CUAAUUAUCCUGGCUUCCUCCCUCUUCCCUCCCAGUCCAGGGUUGACAUGUCAACUGUUUAUUCAUUUUAAUAGAUGCUGUCUGAUCUGCUGAAUUCUUUCAGCAUUUUGUGUGUGUUGUUCUUCACAAAAUAGUUCCUUUUCCAGUUUUCCAAAUCUUUCACAAGAACGUCUUGCUCCUUAAUUUAAGUGAAUGAAAAUCAUUCUUCAAAAUUGUAUACUGUACUUCUGUACAACAGUAAUUGAUUUUCCUACUUGUUCGGUGAUUAGAGAGGAAACUGAUAUACACUUUACAAGAACUUAAUUGAGUACAAUUGUACAUGUAUACAUGUCACAAAUUAUUUCCAAUUGCAAAAGAGGACAGUAGUGUUUAAUACUUCCAAGACCAUUCGCCACUACAAUAAGUUCUCGAUUCCUUUAAAUUAGCUCCCUGUAUAGCUAUUUUUACAGCAACUUGGUCAUCAGUUCUUCCAAAAAAAAUUGACACCAAUUUAGUACCAAUUAAUAGUCUAACUAACAGAAUCCACCUGAUUCACUAACACCCUUCAGGGAAGAAAAUCUAUCUGCCUUUCUACAUCGGGUGUAUAUGCAACUCCAAAUCCAUCAAUGUGAUGAGUGGUCCUUACUGUCUGCAUCAUCUCAAAGAAGGUUCUUGUUGAGAACCACUCUGGGAUGAAAAUAAUGAAUUUUUUUUGCUUCUAUAGUCAUUCGUGUGCAUUUCCAAUUUGCACUACUUUCUGAUGCGCUGGUUACUCUUCAUAGUCGUGGAAAGAUGGCCCUUACAUAAGAACAUGAGAAAUACUCUAUAUUCUUGAGUAUAAGCCGACCUCCCAUUUUCAAGGUUAAAAAAGUGACUUUUUCAUGUUACCUUUGUAUAAGCCGACCCCUUUUGUAGAGGUUUUUGAUUUAGCCAGGAAAGAUCACAAGAUCUCACAUGCCGGUACUCAGCUUUGCCGGAUCCGGAACUGGGAAAUUUUGUGAGUCAGUAUUUGCUAAGAAAACAGGCCUACACAUUGCAUUAUAAGCAAAUUCUUAAUAAAUAAAUCAGGGAGGGAAAUUUUGGAUUAGGUCUCCAAUGGUAAAGAGUCCUCCGAAAUGUAACCCCCAUUAAACCAUUUAGCACCCAUCGUAAUCUCGUUAAAACAUAACACGGGGUGGCGGGAUCAGUACGUCUACUCAGUAUUGAGUUUGCGACCACCAUGUACAAAAGAUUAAAAUGAAUGCGAUAUGAUGCUGGCUUCAAGCUGAAGGUUAUUGAUUUUGCUAAAAGAAUGAAUAAUUCUGCAGCUACUAAGAAGUUUAGUGUAAACAAGAAACAAGUGAGAGAGUGGAGAAAGGCAGAGGAAACGCUGAGGAAAAUGCCAAAAACGAAAUGUGCAAACCUUGGGAAAACAUGCCAGUGGCCAGAACUGGAAGAAAAAGUUUUAGAGUGAGUGAAUCACUAGCAAUCAUCUGCAUACAUUGUUACCCCAGAGAAAUGAUUCGAGUUCAAGCGUUGAAAUGGGCCGUUGUUGUUUAUGUUAAAGAACGCUGCUGGAUGGUCGAAGCCGGUUGCUUGAAGUAGGUUAAAGAGGUGUGGCGUCGACAUCCCGAAGGUUUCGGGAAGGAAAAGUCGCUAUUUGUCUGGGACAUGUUCAAAGCACACUGGUCAGGGGAGACAAAAGCAGCACUGAAAGCUGAAAAUAUGGACAUUGCAGUCAUCCCCAGUGGUUUGAUCUCUGUGCUCCAGCCACCAGAGGAGCCAGUAUGGGAGACUAAGUAAGCACAUCUCCACGUCCUGUUCAAUCAGCACUGGUGCGCCACAUGGUUUCUGCCACUUAAGAAAACCCAACAAAAGGAGGAAUCUCCCUGAUUGCUG